CGGACUCUACAAUUUGGAAAUUCAAUAGAAAUGGAGCGUAUUCUGCUAGCUCUGCCUAUGCGUUGCAAUUCUAUGGAAGAAUCAAUCAGUCCCUCCUUGUUAACGUUUGGAAGAUUAUGGCUGAGAGGAAGAUCCAAUUUUUUUCAUUGGUUGGUGCUUUAGAAGAGAAUCUGGACGGCUGAUCGUCUGGCUGCGAGGGGAUGGGCCUCACGACACGCUUUGCUGCUUUUGAUGGGCCUCAGGUUCUGAAAAAUAUUGAUCAUAGUGUUGGGUCUUGCCCCUGUUUUUUCUUUUCUUUUUGGUUGAAUUCUCUUUGUAUCAUGUACUCCUCUUCCACUUAAUUGAAAAGCAGUGCUCCUCAUAAUUCGUCAAAAAUAUUUGUUCAUUUUCUCUCGCCUCCACCGCUAGAAUUUUCCUCUUCGCCAUCCGUGCAGCUUUUCUCUUCCGACCAACUAAAAGGCAAUAUUUUGAUUGUAUUUUGCUAAAAGGUGUUCGUAUGUAAGGAUGCACAAGACAGGGAAAAAAAAUAAAGACACAUUUUUGUAUAUUGCGAGCAUUCGAGCCAGGCAUACUACAUACUCCCUCGAUACUAGAUUAACUGAC
rnacentral:lncRNA from 1 species